rnacentral:rRNA from 1 species
CAAAUCCGCCGGGCUUAGAUGAGGGGUGAUAACGAGGAGGCUUGCCUCCGAAGUGAGUGAUACCCAGCUUCCAGGAAAAGCCACUAAGCUUCAGCUGCACACGACCGUACCGCAAACCGACACUGGUGCGCGAGAUGAGUAUUCUCAGGCGCUUGAGAGAACUCGGGAGAAGGAACUCGGCAAAUUGACACCGUAACUUCGGAAGAAGGUGUGCCUUUAGUAGGUGAACCUGUACAAGGGGAGCCCAAUGAGGUUGCAAAAAAUCGGUGGCUGCGACUGUUUAAUAAAAACACAGCACUCUGCAAACACGAAAGUGGACGUAUAGGGUGUGACGCCUGCCCGGUGCUGGAAGAUUAAGUGAUGGGGUGCAAGCUCUUGAUCGAAGUCCCAGUAAACGGCGGCCGUAACAAUAACGGUCCUAAGGUAGCGAAAUUCCUUGUCGGGUAAGUUCCGACCUGCACGAAUGGCGUAACGAUGGCCACACUGUCUCCUCCCGAGACUCAGCGAAGUUGAAAUGUUUGUGAUGAUGCAAUCUCCCCGCGGAAAGACGGAAAGACCCCAUGAACCUUUACUGUAGCUUUGUAUUGGACUUUGAACGGAUCUGUGUAGGAUAGGUGGGAGGCUUUGAAGCCGGGUCGCUAGAUCUGGUGGAGCCAACGUUGAAAUACCACCCUGGUGCGUUUGAGGUUCUAACCUAGGCCCGUAAUCCGGGCCGGGGACAGUGCAUGGUAGGCAGUUUGACUGGGGCGGUCUCCUCCCAAAGCGUAACGGAGGAGUUCGAAGGUACGCUAGUUACGGUCGGACAUCGUGACGAUAGUGCAAUGGCAUAAGCGUGCUUAACUGCGAGACUGACAAGUCGAGCAGAUGCGAAAGCAGGACAUAGUGAUCCGGUGGUUCUGUAUGGAAGGGCCAUCGCUCAACGGAUAAAAGGUACUCUGGGGAUAACAGGCUGAUACCGCCCAAGAGUUCAUAUCGACGGCGGUGUUUGGCACCUCGAUGUCGGCUCAUCUCAUCCUGGGGCUGUAGCCGGUCCCAAGGGUAUGGCUGUUCGCCAUUUAAAGAGGUACGUGAGCUGGGUUUAAAACGUCGUGAGACAGUUUGGUCCCUAUCUUCCGUGGGCGCUGCAGAUUUGAGGAAGCCUGCUCCUAGUACGAGAGGACCGGAGUGGAAGCACCUCUGGUGUACCUGUUGUCACGCCAGUGGCAUUGCAGGGUAGCUAAGUGCGGAAGAGAUAACCGCUGAAAGCAUCUAAGCGGGAAACUCGUUUCAAGAUGAGAUCUGCCGGGGCCUUGAGCCCCCUGAAGAGUCGUUCUAGACCAGGACGUUGAUAGGUCAGGUGUGGAAGCGCAGUAAUGCGUUAAGCUAACUGAUACUAAUUGCUCGUGCGGCUUGACCU